GUCCAGAUUAGAAUUUUAGUUCAACCUUAAAUUUACCUGAAAGAAUUAAUAAUCCUAAUGUAAGUUUAACAGUUAUUCUAAAGAGGUACAGCUCUUUAGACAAAGGAAACAGCCUUAUUUAGAGAGUAAAUCAUAAACUCCACAUAGUUGGCUUAAAAGCAGCCACCAAUUAAAAAAGCGUUCAAGCUUAACUUAAUAAUUAACCCAACUUAAUUCCACACUUUAUUGUGAUCUCCUAAUAACAAUAACUGGACUAUUCUAUAAUCUUAUAGACGAGAUAAUGUUGAUAUUAGUAACAAGAAGCGAUUCUCCUUGCACAAGCUUAUAUCAGAUCGAAUAACUCACUGAUAGUUAACAGACAUAUAAUUAUAACUAAAAUCUUAAAUCCUUAUUAUUUAAACUGUUAACCCAACACCGGCGUGCAUAAAAGGAAAGAUUAAAAAAAGUAAAAGGAACUCGGCAAACAUUAACCCCGCCUGUUUACCAAAAACAUCACCUCUAGCAUUACUAGUAUUAGAGGCACUGCCUGCCCAGUGACAUGCGUUUAACGGCCGCGGUAUCCUGACCGUGCAAAGGUAGCAUAAUCAUUUGUUCCUUAAAUAGGGACUUGUAUGAAUGGCCUCACGAGGGUUAGACUGUCUCUUACUUUUAAUCAGUGAACUUGACCUUCCCGUGAAGAGGCGGGAAUAAAAUAAUAAGACGAGAAGACCCUAUGGAGCUUAAAUCUAUUUAGCUUAAGCACACACUACUCCCUCCCCAUGGGGAUUAACAAAUCUGUCUCGUAAGCUGAAGAUUUUGGUUGGGGUGACCUCGGAGCACAGAACAACCUCCGAAUGAUUUUAGCCUAGACUAAACUAGUCAAAGCAACUACUCAUUAAUUGACCCAAACUUAUUGAUCAACGGAACAAGUUACCCUAGGGAUAACAGCGCAAUCCUACCCAAGAGUCCCUAUCGACAGUAGGGUUUACGACCUCGAUGUUGGAUCAGGACAUCCAAGUGGUGCAACAGCUACUAAUGGUUCGUUUGUUCAACGAUUAAAG
rnacentral:rRNA from 1 species